rnacentral:rRNA from 1 species
UAUGCGAUACUGGUGUGAAUUGCAGAAUUCAGUGAAUCAUCGAGUCUUUGAACGCACAUUGCGCCCCCUGGUAUUCCGGGGGGCAUGCCUGUCCGAGCGUCAUUGCUGCCCUCAAGCCCGGCUUGUGUGUUGGGUCGCCGUCCCCCUCUCCGGGGGGACGGGCCCGAAAGGCAGCGGCGGCACCGCGUCCGAUCCUCGAGCGUAUGGGGCUUUGUCACAUGCUCUGUAGGAUUGGCCGGCGCCUGCCGACGUUUUCCAACCAUUCUUUCCAGGUUGACCUCGGAUCAGGUAGGGAUACCCGCUGAACUUAAGCAUAUCAAUAAGCGGAGG